UGGGUGAUCUGCCCUGCAUUUCGGGAUAAGACCUGGGAAAUUGGGUCUAAUACCGGAUAUGACUACGAAUCGCAUGGUUUGUGGUGGAAAGCUUUUGCGGUGUGGGAUGGGCCCGCGGCCUAUCAGCUUGUUGGUGAGGUAAUGGCUCACCAAGGCGACGACGGGUAGCCGGCCUGAGAGGGCGAUCGGCCACACUGGGACUGAGACACGGCCCAGACCUCCGUACGGGAGGNA
rnacentral:rRNA from 1 species